AAGACCUUGCGCUUUUGGAGCGGCCGAMGUCUGAUUAGCUUGUUGGUGAGGUAAAAGCUUACCAAGGCUUCGAUCAGUAGCUGGUCUGAGAGGACGGCCAGCCACACUGGGWCUGAGACACGGCCCAGACUCCUACGGGAGGCAGCAGUGGGGAAUUUUGGACAAUGGGGGCAACCCUGAUCCAGCCAUGCCGCGUGAGUGAAGAAGGCCUUCGGGUUGUAAAGCUCUUUCAGCCGGAACGAAACGGUUACGGUUAAUACCCGUGACUACUGACGGUACCGGAAGAAGAAGCACCGGCUAACUACGUGCCAGCAGCCGCGGUAAUACGUAGGGUGCAAGCGUUAAUCGGAAUUACUGGGCGUAAAGCGUGCGCAGGUGGUUUUGUAAGUCAGAUGUGAAAUCCCCGGGCUUAACCUGGGAACU
rnacentral:rRNA from 1 species